CCCAACAUGUUCCAGGAACAGGCACAUGAAAUUUGCAAGCCCAAUAGCAAGGCUUUUUAAUGAAUCUGCAAACUCAGGGAUCAUAUCCUGUGACUGGAGAAUUGCAAAUAUAGUACCUAUAUUUAAGAAAGGGGAG